GUGUUUACGACGAUUUUGGUUACGUGGUUUUUACGACGAUUCCGUCCUACGUGGAAUUAAAGUGGGCCGCGUUCAUCAUUUAUUUUACGUGGUAUUUACGACGAAUCUUUCCUACGUGGUAUUUACGACGAAUUUGUCCUACGUGGUAUUUACGACGAAUCUCUCAUACGUGGAAUAAACGAGGAAUUCGUCGUAAGUUCGACGUCAACAUACGAGGAAUUAACGAGUAUUCCGUUUAAAUCCCUAAAAUCCGAAACCCCAAACCCCAUAUUCCUUAUCUUCUACUUCAUAUAUUUCAAACCCUAUCUUUAUUUUCAUUCCAAACCACAAUUCCUUAUCUUCUAAUUCAUAUAUUCCAAACCACAAUUCCCACUUUUACUUAUUCAUAAAACAAACUCCCACAUUUUCUUAUUCACAAAACAAACUCCCACAUUACCU
rnacentral:lncRNA from 1 species